CCUACGUGAGGCAGCAGUAGGGAAUCUUCCACAAUGGGCGAAAGCCUGAUGGAGCAACGCCGCGUGGGUGAAGAAGGUCUUCGGAUCGUAAAACCCUGUUGUUAGAGAAGAAAGUGCGUGAGAGUAACUGUUCACGUAUCGACGGUAUCUAAACAGAAAGCCACGGCUAACUACGUGCCAGCAGCCGCGGUAAUAAGUAGGUGGGAAGCGUUAUCCGGAUUUAUUGGGCGUAAAGGGAUCGAAGGCGGUCGUUUAAGUCUGAUGUGAAAGCCUUCGGCUUAACCGGAGUAGUGCAUUGGAGACUGGGAGACUUGAGUGCAGAAGAGGAGAGUGGAACGCCAUGUGUAGCGGUGAAAUGCGUAGAUAUAUGGAAGAACACCAGUGGCGAAAGCGGCUCUCUGGUCUGUAACUGACGCUGAGGUUCGAAAGCGUGGGUAGCAAACAGGAUUAGAUACCCCUGUAGUC
rnacentral:rRNA from 1 species